rnacentral:rRNA from 1 species
UACGGGGGGGGGCAAGCGUUGUUCGGAAUUACUGGGCGUAAAGGGCUCGUAGGCGGCCAACUAAGUCAGACGUGAAAUCCCCAGGCUCAACCUGGGAACUGCGUCUGAUACUGAUUGGCUUGAAUCCGGGAGAGGGAUGCAGAAUUCCAGGUGUAGCGGUGAAAUGCGUAGAUAUCUGGAGGAAUACCGGUGGCGAAGGCGGCAUCCUGGACCGGCAUUGACGCUGAUGAGCGAAAAGCUAGGGGAGCAAACGGGG